rnacentral:rRNA from 1 species
CCAACCGGCCACGAGCGGUGUUGCGUUCCGGAGGGUCCAGCACGCCGUCCCAUACCGCCUAAGUCAAGCUUGAACGCGGCCACUACCCAUGGAGGGUGACAGGCCCGUAUGGCGGCGCCCGCGAGGGUACAGAUGGGGCGGUCGGAAAGGGCCUCUCUCCGUAGAGUCGGGUUGCUUGAAAAUGCAGCCCAAAGUAGGUGGUAAACUCCAUCUAAGGCUAAAUAUGACCACGAGACCGAUAGCGAACAAGUACCGUGAGGGAAAGUUGAAAAGAACUUUGAAGAGAGAGUUCAAGAGUACGUGAAACCGUCAAGAGCCAAACGGGUGGAGGCUCGAAGGUCGAAGUGAGGGGAUUCAGCUCGUCGGCAGGUUUUGUCUGGCUGGUGGGAGAUGUCACGGCACGACCCUAUCCCUGGGCGUCCCUCCUACCAAGCCGGCGUCGGCGGGCGUACUUCGCCUCGUAGUAGGUCGCCGCGACCCGUUGCUGGGGACGUCGAAGGCCCGAACGGAUUGGUACCCCGCCGCCUGGUUGGUUCUUUUACGAGCCCGGCGACUGGGGGAAACCCUCGGUGUGUCCUGGCUGCCCUGCGACGGUCGUUGAGAUGAGCCCCCUGGUCUUCUAGGGGUCUCUCGCGGCGUGCAAAAGGUCGGCGCUCCACCCGUCCCGUCUUGAAACACGGGCCAAGGAGUCCAACAUGUGUGCGAGUCAUUGGGCCCUCUAAACCCAAAGGCGAAAUGAAAGUGAGACGGCCAGGGAGGACGCUGACUUAGGCUCCAUAGGCCUAAGGAGGCUAAUCAUUGGCCAGGGCCGAUCCCCGACUGGCUGCCUCCGGCUUUCCGUCUCUCGUCGCGGCACGCGGGGUGAGUCCCUUUCCUCCGUCUCUGCCGCGUCGGGGUUAUUAGGGCGGGGUUGGCGGGCGAAGGUCUUUCUAUUCUGUGGAAACCUGCUUGACAGGGGGGCGCAGGCCCGGGACUUGCCAGGGACGCCACGCGUCCCCCAAGGUGCGUCUUUUUAGGCGCGCCGACCGGGGUCGAGUGCGCAGUCGGCAAGUACCAGGAGCAGGCAUGUUGGGACCCGAAAGAUGGUGAACUAUGCCUGGCCAGGAUGAAGCCAGAGGAAACUCUGGUGGAGGUCCGUAGCGAUUCUGACGUGCAAAUCGAUCGUCAGAGCUGGGUAUAGGGGCGAAAGACUAAUCGAACCAUCUAGUAGCUGGUUCCCUCCGAAGUUUCCCUCAGGAUAGCUGGAACUCACCACCAGAUGAAUUUCAUCCGGUAAAGCGAAUGAUUAGAGGUCUUGGGGACGAAACGUCCUCAACCUAUUCUCAAACUUUAAAUGGGUGAGAUGCCGAGCUUGCUUAAAAGAUGAAGCUUCGCGCUGUGGGAUGAACCAAACGUCGAGUUAAGGGGCCUAAACGAAUGCUCAUUCAGAUCCCAUCGAAAGGUGUUGGUUGCUAUAGACAGCAGGACGGUGGCCAUGGAAGUUGGAAUCCGCUAAGGAGUGUGUAACAACUCACCUGCCGAAGCAACUAGCCCUUAAAAUGGUAUGGCGCUCAAGCAUUCUCCCGAUACUCGACCGCCGGGGCACUACCGACCGAACGGCUUGUAACAACAAACACCGUUCAGGUCUCGAAGCCCCGGCGAGUAGGAGGGUCGCGGUGGUGUGCGCUGAAGGGUUCGGCGCGAGCCGGCCUGGAGCCUCCACCGGUGCAGAUCUUGGUGGUAGUAGCAAAUAAUCGAGAGAGACUCCCUUGAAGGCCGAAGUGGAGAAGGGUUCCAUGUGAACAUCAGUUGGACAUGGGUUAGUC